GGGAAAGCCGCCCUAGUUUAAGGGGUUCCGGGCCGUCGCUCAGGCCUGGCAGAGCCCAGGCAGCCCGUCAGCACGCGCACAGCGGACUCUGCCGACGAAGCACAAUUGGGAGUGUUUCACAAAGGGCGGGAGAAAUGGGGGACAGCUAGUGCUCCCAGGUUUCCUCGUGGUCCGCGGGGAAAAGCCCGGCGUCCGGGUGCUGCGGGGGGACGAAGGGACGCUGGAAGAGCCAGAGGUAUACCUGGAGAGAUGAUGUCAUUGUUGAUGGUGCUUUAUGAUCUGGGUAUUGUGUAUGUGUGAAGCUGACUCAAGACUACCAAGCCCUCUUGUUUUGUUUCAUUUGCUGUCCUGGGGAUUGAGCCCAGGGCCUUGCACAUGUUAAACAUUGCUUCUAACACUAAACUACACCCCCAACCCCUUGUCAUCCUCAUUUUAACUUCUUGAUGAUGUAGUCAUCUAUGCCACUCGCAAAUAUCCAUGACAUUCGGUUUUUCCUGAUUGUCUAAAAUUGUAUUGUACUCCUUUUGUCCAUUCUCUUUCAAGAAAAGGUGCAGGGCCGGGAAUUUAGCUCAGUGGUUCUGGCACCUGCCUGAUAAGUGCAAGGUCCCAAGUUCAAUCCCUGGUACCAAAAAAAAAAAUAAAAAUUGAACCUGCUUAUCAAGAAAAAGUGCAGAGCUUUUAAGGCCAAUUGAAAGAGUCCUUCCUUUGUCCUCUCCCUAGCUUCAACCAUCAGGGGUUUGUGCAGAAGAGAACCAAAUACAGUAAGAGUCCAACUGCAUGUAAUUAUUUAAUACAGUUAAUGUCAGAAAGUAAGCCCUGACUGCUCCCCACCCUCACCUUGGCCAUACCACUCUUUCAUACUUCAAUCAACAUCUCCUGGAGCCCCAUAGUCAGCAUCUUUCUCCCAAUUCUGCCACUCCAUUUUAUCUGGAUCACCCUUAGAGAACGUGUUGGAGAUAGAAGUGGAAGGAGGAAUCUCAAGCCCAAGGCCUCAGCACCACAGGCCUUUGCCCUGAUAGUCCUCUGAGCAACAUAAAUCUGGCCACACGAAAGCCACAGCUUCCUCCCCUCACACAUAGCAACCACCUCCAUCUCACACUGUCACCAGAUUGGGCCCAAGGAGAUCCCCCCAAAAAAGGAGCUAGGGAUCUCAACUCAUCCUCCUGACACACCCACAGAACACAUUCUUGACUGUGGAAUUGCAGGACUCAUCGGUGAAAGGCAUAAGCAGAUUUAUUAAGCAGAAUCAAAGAGGUACACACUUGGAAGGAGGGGAGUGUCGGCAUUCGAGGGUAAGGUUUACUACCGUCUGGGUUGGAGGUGCUUUUGUGGUCUUGGGGUGUCCUCAAGACAGAUGAUUGACGAUGUGUAUACCUGGUACCAGGCCACCCUUUCCUGGCCUGCGUUAAAAUGCAGACCAUUUGCAUGUAUUGGAAGUUGAGGAUAUAGCAGUACUCCAAUCAGUGGUGCUAUUUCCUUGGGUGUAAAAAUCGGUAGGAUCUGUGAAUUUAUACUAUGGAAGAAAAGCACAGGCCCAAUAUACACACUUAUUUGAUUUUAAAGACUCUUAGAAAUUAGGAGUGAAAGAUUUAGAAGGGGAAAAAAACAGGCCUGGGGUGAAAACACCAUUGUAAUCUUGGGUGACUUUGAUUGUAUCUUGAAACUUCAAUUUUCUUAAAAGUACAGUUGCAAAAUUACAAUUUACUUCUUGUCUGUCUUCUUCCUACCUUUAUUCUAUCAUAGCUCAAU
rnacentral:lncRNA from 1 species